AAGUCCCAGUCAGAGCUCAAGGCCUGUGAGGCAGGACUUCAUUCCUUGAUGAAUGCGGCUCAACUGCUAACAGGAUAAAAAGACACGGACCAGGGUUGGACGCUUUUUAGAAUUUCCUCUCGUGAGGCACAACGACGUGUCCGCGAAUGAUAGGUCCGCGACGCCGUCCUCCCCCUGCAUCCAGAACGCUAGUGUCACGGGUGGAGGGGAGCGAGGCUGCCAUCUCCGAAGACAACACGCCUCUGAGUGUGCGCCUCCUAGUUUGUGCGGCAAUGUUCCCCGUGUUCAAUGAGAAAAUUCAAUGCCCCAGCGCCCAGCUAGUACUGACGCAAGAGCUCUCCCAAAAGUCGUUCGGAAAGUCGUUAAAAAAUCGCUGCGCCGACCGGCUCCACAAGCUGAAGACUGCGCCAGUGAAUGCAUUUGAAACGGCACCUCUACUCUCCCAUCGCCAGGCCCAAAGACGUGUUGUUCAUAGGUGUCGUUCACACUACUAGUGUUGCUGAUCGCGGAGGACCACUGUCCACUGCUCGUCCGCCGUGGCGUUACUUCUGAUGAGGCUCAGAGCGCAUGUUUACUGUGAACAACCUGCUGAAAUAUAUAAUGAGUAAAUUUG